AGAGUUUGAUCCUGGCUCAGGACGAACGUUGGCGGUGCGCUUAAUGCAUGCAAGUCGAGGGAGAACCAUUCGAUCCGUAAGGACCGAAUGGGGAAACCGGCGAACGGGUGCGUAACACGUGAGGAACCUGCCCCGAAGACCGGGAUAGCCCGAGGAAACUCGGAUUAAUACCGGAUACCCUCUUCGGACCACAUGGUCCGUUGAGGAAAUGGUCCGCCGCUUCGGGAUGGCCUCGCGGCCUAUCGGCUUGUUGGUGAGGUAACGGCUCACCAAGGCAAAGACGGGUAGCUGGUCUGAGAGGACGAUCAGCCACACUGGGACUGAGACACGGCCCAGACUCCUACGGGAGGCAGCAGCAGGGAAUAUUGCACAAUGGGCGAAAGCCUGAUGCAGCGACACCGCGUGCGGGAUGAAGGCCUUCGGGUUGUAAACCGCUUUCAGGAGCGACGAAAAUGACGGUACCUCCAGAAGAAGGCCCGGCCAACUACGUGCCAGCAGCCGCGGUAAUACGUAGGGGCCAAACGUUGUCCGGAUUUAUUGGGCGUAAAGGGCUCGUAGGCGGUUCAACAAGUCGAUCGUGAAAGCCCGGGGCUCAACCCCGGGACGCCGGUCGAAACUGUUGUGACUAGGGUCCGGUAGAGGUGAGUGGAAUUCUCGGUGUAGCGGUGGAAUGCGCAGAUAUCGAGAGGAACACAGUUG
rnacentral:rRNA from 1 species